rnacentral:rRNA from 1 species
AGCGUAGACGGAUGGACAAGUCUGAUGUGAAAGGCUGGGGCUCAACCCCGGGACUGCAUUGGAAACUGCCCGUCUUGAGUGCCGGAGAGGUAAGCGGAAUUCCUAGUGUAGCGGUGAAAUGCGUAGAUAUUAGGAGGGACACCAGUGGCGAAGGCGGCUUACUGGACGGUAACUGACGCUGAGGCUCGAAAGCGUGGGGAGCAAACA